UUGUUACCGGUUCUACCCGUCGCUUUUCCCUCUCCCCCCCCCCCCCCGAGGGAAAGCGAGACUGGGCUUUCCUGGAGGCUGAGGCUGGUCUCGGUCUCGCCAGAAGAGGCAGCCCGCGUACAGCGCCUCGCCCUGCCACUCACCCCACCGUCUGAGGCCUGCCUGGGCCCACAAUGCUCCCCCAAAGUUACAGCCCCUUGGUUGCUGAAUUUUUGUUUAUGCUGAAAUCUUGUACCCUGAACUCCUGACAUCACCAAAGCAAGAGUCUGUCCACGUGGCAAAAGAUAUGAAUUGCAGUAAUGAAGCCAGAAGGUUGCAAGUGUAUGCAUUGCUAUUGCUGGAAGCAUACGUGAUAGGAGGGGACACAGUCUUUUGGCCAGUAGUGGAUGAUCUUGAAAUAUCAGACAAGCUGUAUACUGAGAUACAUCAGAGAUGGAUUUACAACCUUAAAUUUACUGCCAUAAGAAUUAAUCUUGGCCACUUAAUAUUUUAACCUAUUUGUGUAUAAAUGUAAAUGGUUGUACUCAUUGCUAUAGUACCUCAAUUGUCAUGGCUUCUGGUUGCAAGCAUUCUUACCUAGCACCCCCUGCAAGCUAUCUGCCAUCCAGCUUGGAAAUUACCUAAUUCCAACCUCUUCCAGGGUAACAAAAUAUCAAAGUGUAGUCCAAAGUCCCAAAGAAUCAGCCUAGCUUCUGGGCCCUGUUCUCAAGCCCUUCCUGGGAUUUCAUUGGAGUCCUUUUCUCCACUUUGGUAUUGAGUACUGUCCCUAUUCAGCCUAAGUCUUUGGGAGGCCUCUAGCUUCUAACAGUCUUAAGCCAGAGAGCAGAUUUGUGUGAUAGGCCUACUUUCCCCAGACUGAACUCUUAGCCCAUUUAUGAGGCCUUAGUGCUGGGGUAGGCAACCUAUGGCACACGUGCCAAAGGCGGCACGCGAGCUGAUUUUCAGUGGCACUCACACUGUCCGGGUCCUGGCCAGUCCGGGGGGCUCUGCAUUUUAAUUUAAUUUUAA